rnacentral:sRNA from 1 species
CAGAAUGUCAAACUUCUGUUGGUACAUUGUUAGCCAAAAUGAAGACCUGUGUUGAUACCUAUACCAACCGUUUAAGAUCUAAAAGGGAAAAUGUUAAAACAGGAGUAAAACCAGAUGCGUCUGAUCAAGAACCAGAAGGACUUACUCUUUUGGUACCCGACAUCCAAAAGACUGCUGAGAUAGUUUAUGCAGCCACCACCAGUUUGCGGCAAGCAAAUCAGGGUACAAAACUUUUCCUAUUAUGCUGCUUUUCAUUUGAUGUAAAGAUGUUUCAUUUACUUACUGAAACCUGCCUUUGUGUUUUUGCUUUAUGUUAAUGAUUUUAAAGCAAGUUCAUUUACCUAAAAAUUUUGUUCUCUGUUAGAUUUUGUUCUUUAUCUGAUUUCAAUCAUGUAUAGUCUAAUUUUUAAACAUUUCUACUAUAUAUGAUUGCUAAAUUUAGUAGGCUGAGAACAUACAUUAUAAAUAUUUC